rnacentral:rRNA from 1 species
UUGACCUACGGGGGGCAGCAGUGAGGAAUAUUGGUCAAUGGGCGGAAGCCUGAACCAGCCAAGUCGCGUGAGGGAAUAAGGCCCUACGGGUCGUAAACCUCUUUUGCCGGGGAGCAAAAAGCGGUACGUGUACCGCAUCGAGAGUACCCGGAGAAAAAGCAUCGGCUAACUCCGUGCCAGCAGCCGCGGUAAUACGGAGGAUGCGAGCGUUAUCCGGAUUUAUUGGGUUUAAAGGGUGCGCAGGCGGCGAGUUAAGUCAGCGGUAAAAUUUCGGGGCUCAACCCCGACGAGCCGUUGAAACUGGC